rnacentral:rRNA from 1 species
GACGAACGCUGGCGGCGUGCUUAACACAUGCAAGUCGAACGGAAAGGCCCUGCUUUUGUGGGGUGCUCGAGUGGCGAACGGGUGAGUAACACGUGAGUAACCUGCCCUUGACUUUGGGAUAACUUCAGGAAACUGGGGCUAAUACCGGAUAGGAGCUCCUGCUGCAUGGUGGGGGUUGGAAAGUUUCGGCGGUUGGGGAUGGACUCGCGGCUUAUCAGCUUGUUCGUGGGGUAGUGGCUUACCCAGGCUUUGACGGGUAGCCGGCCUGAGAGGGUGACCGGCCACAAUGGGACUGAGAUACGGCCCAGACGCCUACGGGAGGCAGCAGUGGGGAAUAUUGCACAAUGGGCGGAAGCCUGAUGCAGCAACGCCGCGUGCGGGAUGACGGCCUUCGGGGUGUAAACCGCUUUCGCCUGUGACGAAGCGUGAGUGACGGUAAUGGGUAAAGAAGCACCGGCUAACUACGUG